GACGAACGCUGCGUUGCGUGCUUAACACAUGCAAGUCGAACGGAAAGGCCCUGCUUUUGUGGGGUGCUCGAGUGGCGAACGGGUGAGUAACACGUGAGUAACCUGCCCUUGACUUUGGGAUAACUUCAGGAAACUGGGGCUAAUACCGGAUAGGAGCUCCUGCUGCAUGGUGGGGGUUGGAAAGUUUCGGCGGUUGGGGAUGGACCCGCGGCUUAUCAGCUUGUUGGUGGGGUAGUGGCUUACCAAGGCUUUGACGGGUAGCCGGCCUGAGAGGGUGACCGGCCACAUUGGGACUGAGAUACGGCCCAGACUCCUACGGGAGGCAGCAGUGGGGAAUAUUGCACAAUGGGCGGAAGCCUGAUGCAGCAACGCCGCGUGCGGGAUGACGGCCUUCGGGUUGUAAACCGCUUUCGCCUGUGACGAAGCGUGAGUGACGGUAAUGGGUAAAGAAGCACCGGCUAACUACGUGCCAGCAGCCGCGGUGAUACGUAGGGUGCGAGCGUUGUCCGGAUUUAUUGGGCGUAAAGGGCUCGUAGGUGGUUGAUCGCGUCGGAAGUGUAAUCUUGGGGCUUAACCCUGAGCGUGCUUUCGAUACGGGUUGACUUGAGGAAGGUAGGGGAGAAUGGAAUUCCUGGUGGAGCGGUGGAAUGCGCAGAUAUCAGGAGGAACACCAGUGGCGAAGGCGGUUCUCUGGGCCUUUCCUGACGCUGAGGAGCGAAAGCGUGGGGAGCGAACAGGCUUAGAUACCCUGGUAGUCCACGCUGUAAACGGUGGGUACUAGGUGUGGGGUCCAUUCCACGGGUUCCGUGCCGUAGCUAACGCUUUAAGUACCCCGCCUGGGGAGUACGGCCGCAAGGCUAAAACUCAAAGGAAUUGACGGGGCCCCGCACAAGCGGCGGAGCAUGCGGAUUAAUUCGAUGCAACGCGUAGAACCUUACCUGGGUUUGACAUGGAUCGGGAGUGCUCAGAGAUGGGUGUGCCUCUUUUGGGGUCGGUUCACAGGUGGUGCAUGCCUGUCGUCAGCUCGUGUCGUGAGAUGUUGGGUUAAGUCCCGCAACGAGCGCAACCCUUGUUCACUGUUGCCAGCACGUUAUGGUGGGGACUCAGUGGAGACCGCCGGGGUCAACUCGGAGGAAGGUGGGGAUGACGUCAAGUCCUCAUGCCCCUUAUGUCCAGGGCUUCACGCAUGCUACAAUGGCUGGUACAGAGAGUGGCGAGCCUGUGAGGGUGAGCGAAUCUCGGAAAGCCGGUCUCAGUUCGGAUUGGGGUCUGCAACUCGACCUCAUGAAGUCGGAGUCGCUAGUAAUCGCAGAUCAGCAACGCUGCGGUGAAUACGUUCCCGGGGCU
rnacentral:rRNA from 1 species